rnacentral:rRNA from 1 species
GUAGUCUGCAACCCGACUACAUGAAGCUGGAAUCGCUAGUAAUCGCGGAUCAGAAUGCCGCGGUGAAUACGUUCCCGGGUCUUGUACACACCGCCCGUCACACCAUGGGAGUCGGAAAUGCCCGAAGUCUGUGACCCAACCUUAGGGGAGGGAGCAGCCGAAGGCAGGUCGGAUGACUGGGGUGAAGUCGUAACAAGGUACC